CCUACGGGUGGCAGCAGUGGGGAAUAUUGCACAAUGGGGGCAACCCUGAUCCAGCCAUGCCGCGUGUGUGAAGAAGGCCCUCGGGUUGUAAAGCACUUUCAGUGAGGAAGAACGCCUGGUGGUUAAUACCCAUCAGGAAAGACAUCACUCACAGAAGAAGCACCGGCUAACUCCGUGCCAGCAGCCGCGGUAAUACGGAGGGUGCGAGCGUUAAUCGGAAUUACUGGGCGUAAAGCGCGCGUAGGUGGCUUGAUAAGCCGGUUGUGAAAGCCCCGGGCUCAACCUGGGAACGGCAUCCGGAACUGUCAAGCUAGAGUGCAGGAGAGGAAGGUAGAAUUCCCGGUGUAGCGGUGAAAUGCGUAGAGAUCGGGAGGAAUACCAGUGGCGAAGGCGGCCUUCUGGACUGACACUGACACUGAGGUGCGAAAGCGUGGGUAGCAAACAGGAUUAGAUACCCGUGUAGUC
rnacentral:rRNA from 1 species